rnacentral:rRNA from 1 species
UACGUAGGGUGCAAGCGUUGUCCGGAAUUAUUGGGCGUAAAGAGCUCGUAGGCGGUCUGUCGCGUCUGCUGUGAAAAUCAGGGCUUAACCCUGGACCUGCAGUGAGUACGGGCAGACUAGAGUGCGGUAGGGGAGAUCGGAAUUCCUGGUGUAGCGGUGAAAUGCGCAGAAUAUCAGGAGGAACACCGGUGGCGAAGGCGGGUCUCGUGGGCGAG